AUAAACUUUGGAAUGGCCUCCUCAAUCCCUCUAUAAAUAGAGAGUUAGGGAUCCUUCAUUAGGAAGUUCUGCUCUCUGAAACUAGGGGAGACUCUGUCAGUAGAAAACUUGAUCAAAAUCUUGCUUCCUACCCAGUUCUCCUCCAGUUUCAUUCGAUCUCUCUUGCUCUCCUACUCUUUUUCAUUUAUAUUUUUCAAGUUCAAACUGACUUAAGUAUCAGAGGAUCAAGAAUCGAAAGAUCUCCAUCCGAUUUUUUGACUGAUUUUGUAGAUUGAAGAAAUUUCCAUCGGAUCGCAAAGAUCACUCCAGCCCAACCUCAUUUGAUUUGAUCCAUCCUACUUCAGAUAUUGAGCCUUGCAGCAAUAGAUUGGCACUAGAAGAAUGGUCCUUUCUAAUUUUUUUUAUAAAAAAAAUGAUCAAGUCACGAACUCAGCAUCUCUCUCUCCGCUCUAGAAGGAGCACUUGAGAUGCCAUCACAGCAAUCAAUUACUGUUGAUCCACAAUAGUUCAGCUUCUUUGUUCCGCAAGUCCAAGCCCUGACACAGUCAUUCAACAGCUUCAAAAGAAGGAGGAGCAAUAGCCGAAGGAAGUUUCUCCUCUGAAUGCUUUGUCUCAGCACAGUCCUCAACCAACCCAUCAAAAUAAACACCAUAUUGAUGAGGCUGACAGUGAAUUUUCUCCCAGUACUCUAAAAGUUCAAAGAGGAGGUGAUCUAGAGUAUAAGGUCCUAGAUCUUAAAAGACAUCUGAUGGAGAUCCAGGUAGGAGGUCGAUCUUAGAAUAAAGAUAGUUUCAAUCUUCGGUCUCCUUUCUCUCAUGAGAUCUUGAGUAAAUCGAUUUCAAAUCGAUUCAAGAUGCCCACCAUCGAGUCUUUAGAUAGCUUUGCUAAUCCAAUAGAUCAUAUCGAGGGUUAUAGAGCCCUCAUGACUUUACAAGAGACUUCCAAUAUCCUAUUAUGCAUUGCUUUUCCUAUGACCCUCAAGAAGACAG
rnacentral:lncRNA from 1 species